rnacentral:rRNA from 1 species
UACGGAGGGUGCAAGCGUUAAUCGGAAUGACUGGGCGUAAAGCGCACGCAGGCGGUCUGUUAAGUUGGAUGUGAAAUCCCCGGGCUUAACCUGGGAACUGCAUUCAAAACUGACAGGCUAGAGUUUUGUAGAGGGGGGUAGAAUUCCAGGUGUAGCGGUGAAAUGCGUAGGGAUCUGGAGGAAUACCGGUGGCGAAGGCGGCCCCCUGGACAAAGACUGACGCUCAGGUGCGAAAGCGUGGGGAGCAAACAGG